rnacentral:rRNA from 1 species
GAUGAACGCUGGCGGCGUGCCUAAUACAUGCAAGUCGAGCGAACAGACGAGGAGCUUGCUCCUCUGACGUUAGCGGCGGACGGGUGAGUAACACGUGGAUAACCUACCUAUAAGACUGGGAUAACUUCGGGAAACCGGAGCUAAUACCGGAUAAUAUAUUGAACCGCAUGGUUCAAUAGUGAAAGACGGUUUUGCUGUCACUUAUAGAUGGAUCCGCGCCGCAUUAGCUAGUUGGUAAGGUAACGGCUUACCAAGGCAACGAUGCGUAGCCGACCUGAGAGGGUGAUCGGCCACACUGGAACUGAGACACGGUCCAGACUCCUACGGGAGGCAGCAGUAGGGAAUCUUCCGCAAAGGGCGAAAGCCUGACGGAGCAACGCCGCGUGAGUGAUGAAGGUCUUCGGAUCGUAAAACUCUGUUAUUAGGGAAGAACAAAUGUGUAAGUAACUAUGCACGUCUUGACGGUACCUAAUCAGAGAGCCACGGCUAACUACGUG